rnacentral:piRNA from 1 species
UGAAAGGUUAUGGGCCCUUGAUCUAAC